rnacentral:rRNA from 1 species
UAAUACGUAGGGCGCAAGCGUUGUCCGGAAUUAUUGGGCGUAAAGAGCUCGUAGGCGGUCUGUCGCGUCUGCUGUGAAAACCUGAGGCUCAACCUCGGGCUUGCAGUGGGUACGGGCAGACUAGAGUGCGGUAGGGGUGACUGGAAUUCCUGGUGUAGCGGUGGAAUGCGCAGAUAUCAGGAGGAACACCGAUGGCGAAGGCAGGUCACUGGGCCGCAACUGACGCUGAGGAGCGAAAGCAUGGGGAGCGAACAGGA